ACAUCUCUGCUAAGAUGUUGCGUCCCAACAAAGACUCUCCCCAUGAGGAAAAGAGUAUGACUUCGCUUAAUGUUUUGUUACAUAAAUUGCAGAAUGUAAAUUACGAAAACUGAAAAGAAGAAAGAAACUAGAAAUAACUCUAACUCAUCUCUUCGGCUCUUUCAAACCCAAUACUAAUAUAACAUAUCUUUGUUCCAAGAAUACGACACCUCUUCUCCUUCCAAUGUUUGAAGCCUGUAAGCCCUGGCGUCUCCACAACCAGGAAUGGUCCAUCCCACUUCGAUUGUAACUUUCCCACUGCUUUAGCUUUCCUUAGCAGCACCAUGUCCCCUGUAGUGAUUUCUCUUGGAUGUACUUUUUCAUUCCUCCACCUUCUCGUCUCAUCUUAGUAGACGGACUGGUUAUGCAGUGCUUGCACUCUUUCCCCUUCUCUUGGGUCUACUGCAACAUCCAUCUCUUCGCCAACCGGCGGCUGCUCUGUGCGAAGUGAACCCAGCUUUAUCACCUCUGGUACCAUUGCGUCUUCUCCAUAGAGCAUCCUGAAAGGAGAGAACUUCGUUGCUCUUGACUCUAUUGUAUUAUGUGACCAAAUUACUCUUGGUAGCUCUUCGGCCCACUUUCCCCUGGCAUGUCAGUUAUGCUCUUCUUGAUUAUGGUGAAGAUUACGCCAUUGGCUCUUUC
rnacentral:lncRNA from 1 species